GACGAACGCUGGCGGCGUGCUUAACACAUGCCAGUCGAACGGAAAGGCCUCUUUCGGGGGGUACUCGAGUGGCGAACGGGUGAGUAACACGUGAGUAACCUGCCCUUGACUUUGGGAUAACUUCAGGAAACUGGGGCUAAUACCGGAUAGGAGCUCCUGCUGCAUGGUGGGGGUUGGAAAGUUUCGGCGGUUGGGGAUGGACUCGCGGCGUAUCAGCUUGUUGGUGGGGUAGUGGCUUACCAAGGCUUUGACGGGUAGCCGGCCUGAGAGGGUGACCGGCCACAUUGGGACUGAGAUACGGCCCAGACUCCGACGGGAGGCAGCAGUGGGGAAUAUUGCACAAUGGGUGGAAGCCUGAUGCAGCAACGCCGUGUGCGGGAUGACGGCCUUCGGGUUGUAAACCGCAUUCGCUCAUGACGAAGCUUUGUGUGACGGUAGUGGGUAAAGAAGCACCGGCUAACUACGUG
rnacentral:rRNA from 1 species